CUUUUUUUUUUUUUUUUUUUUUUUUUUUUUUGGUACAUAUUGCCAGCAAGUAUUUGCCAUGUGUCUGGGUCUGGUUAAUGCUGUGGCUGUUUGCUUUCUUCCUGUUGUUAAGUCGUGGUGGUCUAACAAUUGUUUGUGUUGUUCCAUCCACCUGGCCCCCAGCUGCCCACCGGUUCUAUAAAAUCAUGUUGAAAGCUCACCGUGUAGGAUACAAACACCAGUCAAGGAAUCAAACGUGUCGGGGAACGCGUCUCACGGAAGAAACACAAAGGCUUGUGUCCUCUUGUGGCUGAAGGUGGAAGGCCGGGCCUGUGGGAGACACUUCAUGAGCAAUUUCAGCUGAGACCACAGACGUUAUAAAAUCGCUGCAGAAGACUUCCUGCAGCUUGACACUCGGCUCCUUUGGCCAAGGAGACUCCGCGUAUUUUACUUCUUACUAACUUUCCUUUCCUACUGAACUUCAGAUUGCAAACGACCUCCUCUUAUUGCCAUCCACCGAGGAGAGGUUGCUUGGCAGAGAAGGAGGGUGAAACACUGCCAAAAACAUUUUUUGGCACCAGCUAUCAAUUAAAACCGAUAGCCCAACCUCGUGAUGCGAGAUUAGAGUAUUUCCCGGCACUGUUUUCUUGAUGAUUUCAGAACAAGGCAAGGGAGUUCUCCGUGCUGUUUCUUCACAACAGAUGUCAUGGCCAACAUGAUGCUUUUGAAUGUAGAAUCAUUAUCAGAGUAGCUGUAUUGAUAUUAAUUUCUUGUUAGUUUGUUUUCUUCACCUCAUGCUUUUGCUUGGUUGUUUGCUUUGUUCUUGUUUGUUUGUUUUCUUUUGCUGGCUGCACCCGUGGCAUGUGGAAGUUCCCUGGAUAGGGGGUCGAAUGGGUGCUGCAGCUUCUGGCCUACACCACAGCCACAGCAACUCUGUGGGCACCACAGCUUGUGGCAAUUAUCAGAUGCUUAAGCCACUGAGCGAGGCCGGAGAUCAAACCCGCAUCGUCACAGUGUGUCCGGUUCUUAACCUGUUGAGCACAACAGGAACUCCUUUUCCUUGUUGUCUUUUAAUUUUUCUUGUACGUAUUUUCAAUUUAAAAGAGGGAUGAAAACAAAGGCAAUGACAUUUAAAAAAAAAAGAAGGUUGCGAUAUGAUACAAGAUAAAAGAUAGAAAUACAAAAAUAAGGCUCCUGGGAAAAUGUUGGGAGCAACGGAUAAAUGGUUACAGUGAACUUUCUAAAGGAGCGCCAAUAACAGCUUGUUUCAACGCCUCGUAUGUAACAGUAUGACCUCCGUCCACGGCUACCUCCGCUCUGCUGCCUUUCCCAAUACAUCUGUUCAUAUCCUGACACUGUGGAAGCCAGUGCAGCACAGUAGGUUGAUCUGGGUUCUGAAGUCAGAAUAUCUGAGUGCAAAGGCCAGUUUUACCAUUUCCUAGUCGUGGGACAUUCACCAGCUACAUAACUUUCGUGGGUCUCCGUGUCCUCAUCCGGAAUCAGGGACAGUAACAGCAGCCACCUUAUAGGAGUCCUGUUAGGGUUAAAGGAGAACACUGGAGUUCCCUCUGUGGAGGAGCAGGAUCAGGGGCAUCUCUGGAAUGCUGGGGCACAGGUGUGAUCCCCGAGGUGGCACAGUGGGUUAAAAAGAUCCGGCAUGGCCACAGCUGCGGCAUAGGUGGCAACUGCGGCUGAUCCUUGGCCUGGGAACUGCGUGUGUUGCAGAGCAGGGGAAAAAAAAAAAAAAAGUACAAAACUUACGCAAAGCAUAUAAUGUGAACUCUUAUCACAUCAUGGUAGAGAAACCAGGGACUGCUUUCAGUCCCAAAUUCCCUGCGAUUUCUGUUAAGAAAUCUCCCUUAUAUCAAUGGCAGUCAGAAUUUUGCUCUGGAAAUUUAAAUUCGCUCCUUCUUCUGUCAUGAGGUUAACUGGGAUUCUCUAAGGGGUCCUCCCACUUCAAAAUACCUUUAGAUACGGUCUUAGAUGAGAUACAUUUGUGGAGACACAAAAAGGACGGACUGGAACACUGAGCUGGCAGCAGCCCGAGAAAGAAGGAAGCUGCGUCUAGAACUCUGGGCAGAAACUCUCCAACACAGCAAGGACUCCCGGACACCAGUAAACACAAGACUGGAUCCCCGAAGGACUGGCUAAGUCUGCAGGUGCCAAUAAAAAAUGGAAGGUAGUCCCACUCAGGGGGCCCCGAAGGAUAUACCUUUAAAGGUGGCCCUAACGCGCUGAGGGGAAAGAUCUCCUGGGGGCAGAACAGAAAAAAAACACACAGUUUCACGGGCAAUGGUACAUGUCUUGGCGGAUGGGCUAGGGACUUAGAAACACUGGAAGACUGGGGACGGGCCUGCUAAGAAGAGGCAGGUGGAUGACUCGGUGGGAAUGAACACACAGAGUGAGGAACUUCGUGCCUCAUUCGCACAUGGAGCAAAGAGCCAUGCCCACUGGCGGCGACACAACCAGGGUGACAGAACGACACGGCUAGAUGUCAGCCAGCCUCCAACAGCCUUGGACAUCCCGGGGCUUGAGCAACGGGCUUACGUACAAAGGAACUCUGGCGGCGGCGGAGGAGCCUACACACGGGCUCCAGGACAAGACCGUCUCUCACCAAGGCUACUGCCGGUGGAUGACAGAUCUGCCAGCAACUGAGACCAAGGCUAUGGCCCACCCUCCGCUCUUGAGUCUGAUUCCUCCUGAAUAUGAGCCAGUCAUUGAGUGGCAUCUUGGAAAGAGGGUGGAUUGCCUUAUAUUCGGGACAUGCAUUUGCAUUUUUUUUUUUUUUUUUUUUUUUUUUUUGGUCUCCUGUGGCUCAGGCUCCAUUACUGUUCUGAGUCUCAUAGAGUAUCUGGUCUACCAGCACGGGAAUCUCACAUAACCUCACCUCUGACAAAGGGCAAGCUUAAUAGAAAAUAAGACAUGAGACUAGGAAGAUGACAUGGGAUCCCCCGUUGCUACCAUAUACCAUGCCAUCCAAGGUGCUGAGUCAAAAGACCAUGCCUCUUAAAGGUUUACCUUUAAGACACCAGGUUGAAGAAGACACUCUGUGAAGAAGGGGCACCCUCUCUCAGGAUGCAGCUUAUCGCAGACCAGCGCUGCAUUCCACAAGGCUGUGUUCCCAACAGGCAGACCACAAGGGUUUGGGGAUCAAAGGCAGGAGCAGAAGUGCUUCCACCGCUCCUCACACCUGGGAACCCAUGUGCUUCCUGCCCCUGCAACUUUAGGCUCUAGGAUCUAGACGUCCUGGUUUUCAGAGUGGAUACUCUCAGCAGGAAACAUCGUAAAAAUUCCACUCAAAUUAAGCGAAAGCUGUCAUAUAUAAUUUGGGGAUCUUCACGGCAGUAAAGUGCAGGCACAGAAAGUCAUUCCCAUGAGGAGGUUGAACCAUUCCUAUAAAACAGACCCAGGGAGGAAAAAGCUCGCCACUGAGACAUCAUCUCAUAACAAACAGACAAACUCAAAGGCUCCGGAGCCUCCAGGGUGAGAAUCUGGGUCACCCCACCCCGUAAGCCACCAGACCGGCGGAAAUGCUGGACAAAGGGAGAGAGAGAGCCGAGAAAAGGUAACGGAGGAAGGAGACGAUGGAUCUCGGCUCCUGCCUCGGGACCAGCAGCAGCGGCAGGGGCUGCAGCUAAUCCCACUCACACUUCUCUUCCAGUGUUGCUAAGGCUGUAAUGGGGUAUGGGAAUUUGGGGGAUGAGAUGAAUUUAAGUCCGAUUCAUUCCCUCACAGGUGCCAAGUAAUCCAUAAUCAAGGUAACACACAUAUUACAUGACCCAGCUUUUCCAGAUAGCUCCAGUUUUCAAAGAGCCCAUCCUUUUAGUGACUUAAAAAAAAAAAAAAAAAAAUCUGGAUUUUCUUUCUGCUCCAACACAGACAGGGAUUUGUCUUUUACCGAGCUGCCCUCCCCAAAAGUUUCUGAUAAUCUAAGAAAUGCUUAUGCAUUUCACAAAUCUGUCAGCUGGCUCCCAGGGAGUCAGGCAGCUAGUUUGCACUUUUUCAGUUGCCUCUUAGUAUUUCAAGCAUGGCUCCAGUCAGGCAAAUGCGCCACUCUUCCAGUAAACCCAUCUCUCUUAAGACUUCUCAUGCUGUGGGUCAGAGAAAACUCAUCUCCAAUUGUCUUCCACAGGAAAGGGAACUUAUCAGCUUCUGUAACAGGAAGGGCUUCAGGGCUGAUGAACCAGCUUGAAGUACCUACCUCUUCCACUGCCUUCCUCUGCCCUCAGGCUGUGAGCUUCCUCCUACGUCUGACUCUCCUCUGUUCCCACUCCCCGUGACCCCAUGGUCGUGGAAGGCUGCCAGUAACAAUAACGCCACAUGUCUCCUCAUUCUUGUUCAACAGGAAAGAGAGUGUGCCUGACCCAGCGUCCAAAGAAUGUAUCAAGAUGCACCCUGACUGCUUGGCUGAAGUUGCCUACCUGCCUCAGAAUGCAAGUGUGUGUGCCCACGGAAUUGCACACAUUGAAACCUAAUCCCCAGUGUGAUGGUGUCUGGAGGUGGAGGCUCUGGGAGGUGAUUAGGUCUUGAGCGCGGAGCCCUCAUAAAUGAGAUGAGUGACUUUAUAGAAGAUACUCUGGAAAGCCUCUCCCCUGUGCCGUGUGAGGACACAGCAAGAGGGCCCUCCAGGAACCAGAAAGUGGGCCUUCACCAGACACCAAAUGUGCCAGAACCUUGAUCUUGGACUUUCCAGCCUCUGGAACUGUGAGAAACCCACUUCUGCUGUUUUUAAGCCACGCGGCUGAUGGCAUAUUCUGUCACAGAAGCCCAGGUCGACUACGAUAAGACCCGACUUUGAACCCACGGCUGUGCAAUAACACAGCCCGAGAGGACGCACACACCAGGACCCACUUCUUGAGCUAGGACAGGUUCAGCUUCACCCAGAGUGCACCGACUGUGUUGAGGAGAAGAGAACAAAGGAAAUCGGGGAAUUGUUAAGAAGCGAAGACGGAGGUUUUAUCAGAACCAGCCCUGUGCGCUAGAAGCACCAUUUCUCCAAGCACAGGCAAGGCUCUCCCCUUAACGCCCACGGAGCUGAGGCUCGAAGAACAGAACCCAGAAAAUUUACAAAGUAAAACCGAAAGAAGACAGCUUAAAAAUGAAUCCUGGAUAAGACUAUGGCUGGACUCCACAGGCCAGUCUCUCGCCCUAGGAUAUCCUUGGCGACCGUUCCUCUUACACUUUACUGCGCACACAUGUCCUUGGACAUCUUGGGACGGAGGCCCCAGGUUCUGCAACUCCAUCAAGUUCCCGUGUGACGUUACGAUGCUGGUCCGAGGAUCAGCUUUUCUCCUGAUUUAGUUCAUCACCAAAGUGCUCCCUUCAGGCAGGAAGCUCCUUGGAGCUUGUCUCUUCGCCUCAUUUCCUUGAUUCCCAUGGAAAGAAAUGCACGUUCCUAAAAGGAAAUGCUUGGCAGAAUUGUAAGAUCAUCUUUGCGAGAGAUAAGCUUUAAAUUAUUGUGAGAAGAGUUUAACUUCAAGGUGUUGCCAGUCUCUCCUUUCCAGGGCAUCUUCAAAAAUGUCCCCAAAGUAUCUUUGCUAAAAACCAAAGUGUCUGUGGAGUCUGCCUCCUCAGUGAUGAAUUUUAAACUUCCAUAACUACGAGAGAAACCAAAACUGAGAAAGAGAGAGAGAGAGAAAGAGGUGAUGGACGAUCUUGACCCUUGGGCAUCUUUCCACAACGUGCAUGCAUAUCAGAUUGUCUGUCACUGUACGCUUUAACCACACACAAUAAUUUUUGACAAUUACUUCUCAAAAAACUUAAAAAAGUAAAAGAAGGGCACAACCCACUUUUAAAACUGGACAAACAAAAGCUUUAAAACUUAACUUUUCCACACUUAAGCUAUCAAGAAUUUUAGGGAGUUCCCUCCGUGGCUCAGUGGUUAAUGAACCCGAAACUCCUAUACUGCUUAUUUAAAACAAGCUUUUUGAUAUCCGCCGCUCUUGCACUCAUGAUCAUAUUCAGCUGGCAACAGAGAAAAUAUACUUCUCAUCUUAAAGAAGCGCACACUGGAGAGGGAACAGGCUUCAAAGGGAGAGCUUUCCAUUAAAUCCGGAGCCUGCAGAAAUGCCUUUUCAGGUGUAGAUGGCACUUUAUUCAUGAGUCUCUCAUAAUGGUUCUACCUUUGUCUGUAAUUAAAGGGCCAGAAGCUAGUUUUAUAUAUAACUCAAGGCAAUUGUAAAAUAUAAGUAUAUUUCCCCUCUGUUUAAAUAAAUGAAAUAAUUU
rnacentral:lncRNA from 1 species